rnacentral:rRNA from 1 species
AUUGAACGCUGGCGGCAGGCCUAACACAUGCAAGUCGAACGAGUGGCGGACGGGUGAGUAAUGUCUGGGAAACUGCCUGAUGGAGGGGGAUAACUACUGGAAACGGUAGCUAAUACCGCAUACCAUCUUAUUUGCCCAGAUGGGAUUAGCUGGUAGGUGGGGUAAAGGCUCACCUGGGCGACGAUCCCUCGCGGGUCUGAGAGGAUGACCAGCCACACGGGAACUGAGACACGGUCCAGACUCCUACGGGAGGCAGCAGUGGGGAAGAUGGCAAAAUGGGCGCAAGCCUGAUGCAGCCAGGCCGCGUGUAUGAAGAAGGCCUUGGGGUUGUAAAGUACUUUCAGCGGGGAGGCGUUACCCGCAGAAGAAGCACCGGCUAACUCCGUGCCAGCAGCCGCGGUAAUAC